AACGAACGCUGGCGGCAUGCCUAACACAUGCAAGUCGAACGAGACCUUCGGGUCUAGUGGCGCACGGGUGCGUAACGCGUGGGAAUCUGCCCUUGGGUCCGGAAUAACAGUUAGAAAUGACUGCUAAUACCGGAUGAUGACUUCGGUCCAAAGAUUUAUCGCCCAGGGAUGAGCCCGCGUCGGAUUAGCUAGUUGGUGAGGUAAAAGCUCACCAAGGCGACGAUCCGUAGCUGGUCUGAGAGGAUGAUCAGCCACACUGGGACUGAGACACGGCCCAGACUCCUACGGGAGGCAGCAGUGGGGAAUAUAGGACAAUGGGCGAAAGCCUGAUCCAGCAAUGCCGCGUGAGUGAUGAAGGCCUUAGGGUUGUAAAGCUCUUUUACCCGGGAUGAUAAUGACAGUACCGGGAGAAUAAGCCCCGGCUAACUCCGUGCCAGCCGCCGCCGUAAUAC
rnacentral:rRNA from 1 species